CCUAGCUACUCUAUCUAGCAGUCUCUUGAGUAGUCUUGGGCACGUCUUUUUUAACCAAAACCAAUUCAAUCACUCAACACCGGAGAAACUGGUUUCUGUCUGUAUUUUCAGAUCAGAAUAAAGAAAGAAAGAAAAACCCAUUUGCGAUUCACAUUAAAACCUCUUACUUGUACUUAAUUUAAUUACCCUUUCCUUCACUCUACCAAUCAACAAAAAUUCAUUUUGAUGAAUCAAAAGACUCAAUUAGAAAACCCUAGUUUUACAUCUCCUCUAAACAUCUAGCCUCUGCUUGGAUUUUUUAUUUUAGUCUCUGGUGAUCAUCAGCUCAUGUGAUGUGGUGGCUAUAAAAGAAGAAGAGAAGGGUAGAAAAGAAUGCAAAUGGGUUAUAGAUCGAACAAUAAUGGUUUUAUUAUACGGGAUUCUGGUGGAGGAAUCAAGGAAUUUUGUUUCAAUAACAUUAUGAUAUUUCCUCCCAACACAAAGGUAAGUACUGUCCUGUCCUCUGAUCUAUUCAUUUUCUAAUCAAUAACCAUCCAAAAACUGAUUAAAUGUAAAGAGAAUCAUCAUAACAAAACAAGGUAAUGGAGGGUUAAGGGUGGACAUAGUUGAUAAAUUAACCUGUGUAGAAGCAAGGUCAGAUGUACUCAUAUUCAGCCUCGGCUAGGAAACCAGGUUGUUUUAGUUGAAGAGAGUAGACUGAUGCUCAAAUUAUGACAUUUUUCCAUAAAACAGAGAUUAUUCACACACACACUUAAAGAAGUGAACAAUCUCAGACUACUAUACCCAAACCAGUAAUCAAGAAAUUUAACAAACAAAUCUUUCUCAUACACAAUUUUAACUUUAAAGGCUCAUACAUGUUUACUUUUAAUCUAAUUUUAACACUUGUAAUCAAAGUAUUAUGUAUAUUUGAGUAAAUUUUUCUUACAGUAUUGAUAGCUCUUACUGGUAGUCUGUUAUGAGCUAUCUUCCAUGAAAAGUGAAAUAUUUUAUGUAGAAGUUGAAUGUGUCAAAAUUUAAGCCAGAAAGACCUAUGUUGUUUAUCUUAUGUGGUAUAGAGCUUUGACUAAGAAGAGAUUUAUAAGUAGCUUUAUCCCAGCCUCUAACGCCUUGUAGCUUUAGGUGUUAGAGGCACAUUUGGUUGAAAGCUUUUGCGAUGAAAGGAGUAAUGAGGUUGAUGAAGAGAGGAAUAAUUGAGGAAGAGAGGCAGUCUCCUGAAAUGAAUUUGGGUUAUCUUUAGUUUACAUAAAAAUUUGGUUGUUUUAGUUAUAUGGUUUAUGUAAAAUCUGCACCCUUUUUUGUGUGAACUUAUUGUUGAAGCCAUAUCUACAGAUUCAUUAUAGCCUAUCUUUAACCUGUUAGCAUACGGAAUCUCAUUCUUUGAUGACAUGUAUCCUGUAUUUCUCCUUGAACAAUGUUUAUUAUCCGCUCAUACUAAUCUGAGAGACACUGCUAUGGACGAAGUGAAGCACCAUAACCAGGAUUCUGAUGGGUUGAAAGAGACUUCAAAUCAGUGUAGCUGUGGAGUUGUGUUCAACUGGUCGAACGAUGCUAAAGGCUUGACUAAGACUUCCGUUCAGGAAUAUGAGGACGUGCACAAAAGUCUAAAGACCCUGUGUGAAUCUCAGUCAGGAAAACAAGAGCAGUGUUAAGUUGAGGAACCAACUUGGAGUUUCAUUCAGGAACACAAGGCAGAUAUGAAGAAGUGCAUAGAUUACAAUGAAUGACUGCGAAGUUCUCCCAUCAUAUUAGACUUGACAUCAUGGGGAAGAAUAAGAAAGCGCGUGCAAGUAUCAAAGGAGAAAAUGUCUACCUGGACCUUUUCUUCAAUAAUUCCUAGGGAUAAAAGAGGAAGAUUUCCAGAAUAUCUGUAGAGUUUUGGUGCAAGUAAUUUCAUCAAGCUAAUGAAAUCAGCUAAGCCGUCAGAACAAACCUUCAUCGGCUGAGACGACCAUAAAUGAAGCUAAUGCUAGAGUGUCAGAUCCUGUUCAUGGGCAUGGGCUAGCAGGUUUUGCUGUAACCCUUGAGAAACCUAAUCAAAUCAGCUGAGCCACACCAGUGUUUGGCGGCUGAGACCAUGAUAAUGGAGGCAAGGGUUAGAAAAUUUGAUCCUGUCCAUGGGUUGGAAGGAAUCGCUGAGACCCUUUCGCUGCAAUUGGAUAAUCUGACUUCUGAACUUGCUUUUGUAAAUCAACAAAACCAUCGCUGGCACAGUGGCGUAAUGCAACAAGAGACAAUUUAGAUCAAAUGCAGCUAAUGGAGAGAAAAUGGCAGUGGUCUUGCAGCAUGUUAUCACCUUCUCUAAUGUACCAUGUCAGUCACAUUUUUAUUUAGUGGGAGAUUAAUAGUUAAAAAAAAUUAUGAUUAAA